CAAAUUAGCAGUUCGUUCCCAUUCAGGAUUUGCUUACCGCAGCUAACGCAUUAAGGUUGCCCGCCUGGGGGAGUACGGCCGCAAAGGUUAAAACUCAAAUGAAUUGAGGGGGGCCCGCCCAAGCGAUGGAGCAUGUGGUUUAAUUCGACCCAACGGGAAGACCCUUACCUGCCCUUGACAUCCAGAGAACUUGGCGGGGAUGCUUUGGUCCCUUCGGGAACUCUGAGACAGGUGCUGCAUGGCUGUCGUCAGCUCGUGUUGUGAAAUGUUGGGUUAAGUCCCGCAACGAGCGCAACCCUUAUCCUUGGUUGCCAGCGGUUCGGGCGGGCACUCUAAGGAGACUGCCAGUGACAAACCGGAGGAAGGUGGGGAUGACGUCAAGUCAUCAUGGCCCUUACGACCAGGGCUACACACGUGCUACAAUGGUGCGUACAAAGAGAAGCCACCUCGCGAGGGCAAGCUAAUCUCAUAAAGCGGAUCGUAGUCCGGAUUGCAGUCUGCAACUCGACUCCAUGAAGUCGGAAUCGCUAGUAAUCGUGAAUCAGAAUGUCACGGUGAAUACGUUCCCGGGCCUUGUACACACCGCCCGUCACACCCAUGGGAGUGGGUUGCUCCAAGAAAGUUAGCGUAGUCCUUAACCUUUUGA
rnacentral:rRNA from 1 species